GCGGGGCGGGGAGAUGCUCGGGUUAAAGCGGCGAUGCCGACCCGGCCGGAGCUCCGGCGGCUGGUUUAAAGCGGUUCUGCCGGAGCCCGGUACCCGGGAGUCCUUCAACAAGUUAAUUCACGUGGCAAAUAUUUACUGCCCGGCUGUAUUCUAGUGGGGACAGAGACGGUGAACAGAUGCAUGAAGAACGGUAAGGCAGCGGACGGGAAAUAGGAGAUUUCUAUUUAACGGAGAACGUUGCAUCUUUCUCCUUACAGAGAAUUCAGUUCAGUGCCCGUGAUGGGCCAGGGUGUGUACUGGGCAGCGGAGAUACGACGGAUAAACAGGACACACGAAGAGACCUCAUGCGCCUUCCGAGCUGACAGGAGAGACAGAAAACACUUUCAUCACUUUCUCGUGGGAGGAGCAGCACGGAUGUACAGGGGUGAGAGGAACUGCGCGUGCUCAUCUCUGAACUUUAGCUCCAUAAAAAAGCAAUGACUGGGCCAUAAAAAAGAAUGAAAUCACGCCAUUUGCAGCAACAUGGAUGCAACUAGAGAUUCUCAUACUACGUGAAAUUGCCCACUGUGGGGGACAGCAGCCACCGUGUCACGAAGACACUCAAGGAGCCCUGUGUAGCCACCUGGAUGGAGAGGACCUGAGGCCUCCCACCAACAGCCAGCACCCACUUGCCAGUUGUGUAGUGAAACCACAAGGGACUGAGAGACUUAAGAAGAGGGGAGGAGCCACGGCUCAGCGCCCAGAUGUUAAGUGCGCGACCUGCCAAGCUAUCAGGAGACCACAUAGUAGAAAGACCAGUGGUGACUACCCUGCCAUGAAUUCACUUGACAAGCAUCCAUCUUUCCUGGCAUUAGUUUUCUCAUCUAUAAAAUGAGAGUAUAUAAACUGGAAACGAAUGUCCAUCAAGAAAUUACAUUACGGCAUAUCCAUCCGUAUGACAGACGUCAACGCCGUGAGUCAAAAGAAUGAGGUAGAUCUGAGUGUGUUGGUAUGCAGAUACUUCCAAGAUGAAAAACCAAGCUGCAGAAUAUAUUGUACAAUCCCUUUGAACUUAACAAAACGUAUAUGUACGCGCAAAUGCUUGUGCAACAUUUUCCCCUAGAAGACACGAAAUUUAAGGUUGCCAUUUGUUUGAGGGGUACUAUUCUUAGGGGCGGGGCAUGGGAAAGAGGCUUUCACAACUCCUGAGUCUUCCUUAUACUGUCUGUGAAGUUUUAGUAUCAUGUACAUUAGAGGCAUGGCAUUUACUUUUGCCUUAAUUUAUUUCUAGAUAUAAAAUUAAACAUUAUUUUCUCCAAGAAAUUUUCUUACAGAUGACAGAUGGCAUACCUAACUGCACUUGGGGAAGGUAUGAGGCAAGUGGGCUUCAGACACGUGAAGAGAGGUCCUUUACGUUGACUGACAAGAUCUUAGGGUAGGAAAACCAGAGUAGAGAGGCUGGGGCUGGGAGAAGAGGAAUCCAGCAGUGGCCACAGUGAAGGAGGAGCUUCUCAUCAGACAUUCUUUAAUCUUCUAAAUCCCUUUUAGUUCCUGACUGACCCACCCACCCCCAAACACAGCCACUGUGUGAGUAAUUCUAGAAAUAAAUUUUGCAUUUAGCAUUCUCCUAGUCUCUUAUAAUCACCCACUAAUGAAAAAAACGAACCACUGUUUGAAAAGCCCAACAACAAAAACUCCCAUAAAAUAAUCUUCAAAACUCCUGUACUUAAAUCACUAAAGCACAUCUUUAUUUUGCAGUUGGACAAUUUAAAGUCACAGCUAGAGCUUUUUCACGUUUGAACCUGAACAACUGGUUCUCAAUCAAAAUGAAGUAUGGCCAACAAAUUUCUUUCAGCGCUCAGGUUGUAGUACUUGUGGUGCCGACGGGAGGCCUUUGUUCCAAUACCUGAUCAGACCUGCCAACAGAUUCUAAACAACUCUACAGCCUACCAUGAUGUUGUUGUACAGCAGCCUGAAUCACGUCUAUCUGCUGGCAAAGAGCGGAAUGUUCAAAAAGGACUGUACAGAGUUAUUUACUAUCUUAUACUGUCUUGACUGUGAAAUUCAGAAAUAGAUACAAGAAUUUCUCUUUGACAU
rnacentral:lncRNA from 1 species